AAAAAAGAAAUAAAAUUUGUUAUGAAAGAAAUAAAGAAAUAAAAAUCUCUCGUGCUUUCUGGUUACUCUCUCUCGCCACUUGCUCUCUUUCUGUCACUCUCACUCUCUGGCUCUCGCUCCCUCGCUCACACUCUGUCUAUUUGUGGCUCGCUCCAAACUCACAUUCUUUACCCGAUUUUAUCACUCAAAUUUUAGGUUUUUUUACAUUUAAAAUUUUUUUAGGGUAUGGAUAUGGCUGAUUUAGGAAUGGUUUUAGUUUUGGGCAUUGGUGCUAGGGGUUAAACUUUUGGCUACUGCAGCUAUUGUUGGGAAACGAACAGGACGUGUGGGCAAUUGAUUUUUUCUUAUCCUCUGGUUAGAUGGCAGGAGAGACUAAUGAUCACUCUCGGAGUCAUGGAUCUAGACCUUGCAUUAAGGGUUCCCAAACUUGCUAAUCUUACUGAUAAGAAAAGAGGGAGAUGGAAAAGUGGGAAAAGUUUAAUAGCAUAAGUCUUAUGGUCAUUAAGCGUGCCAUUCCAGAAGCUUUUAGUGGAACUAUGUCCGAUCAGGUAGAUACAGCUAAAGCUUUCCUUGAGGACCUUGAGAAGAGAUUUGCUAAGAAUGAAAAGGCUGAAACUAGUACAAUCUUAGCAAAGCUCAUCUCUAUGAGGUACACAGGCAAAGAAAAUAUAAGAGAGUAGAUUAUGGAAAUGUCUGAUGCUGCUUCAAAAUUAAAGGCACUCAAGUUGGAUUUAUCUGAAGACUUGUUAGUGCAUUGGGUUUUGAUAUCCCUUACAGCACAGUUCAGUCAGUUGAAAGUGAGCUAUAACUGUCAAAAGGACUCUUGGUCCCUUAAUGAGCUCAUCUCACACUGUGUUCAGGAGGAAGAUAGAUUGAAGCAAGAAAGGACACCGAGUGUUCACUUGGCCUCCACCACAAAGGACAAAAGGAAAGACAAUAAGAGAUAGAAGUAAUAGGAAGCUACAGAAAUAGCACCGCAAAAGAAACAACAUAAGGAACCAACUCAGGAUGGUUGUUUCUUCUGUAGAGUGGCAGGUCAUAAGAAGAAGCAGUGUACCAAUUAUCAUGCAUGGCAUGUAAAGAAAGGUAUGCUUCUUAACUUUGUUUGUUCUGAGGUUAAUUUGGCUUCAGUACCUAGACACACAUGGUGGAUGGAUUCUGGUGCAACAACUCACAUCAAUGUGUCCAUGCAUGGUUGCCUGAAUUAACGAAAACCUAGUGAUGGUGAAAGAUACAUCUAUGUUGGUGAUGGCAAGUCAGUAGAGGUCUAAGCAAUUGGAACUUUUAGAUUAUUGUUAAGAACUGGUUAUUAUUUGGAUUUGAUUGAGACUUUUGUUGUACCGUCCUUUAGACGGAAUUUGAUUUCUAUUUCAGUAUUGGAAAAAUUUGGUUAUUGUUGUUCAUUUGGAAAUGGAAAAUUUAAUCUUUUUCAAAAAUCAAAUUUGGUUGGUUCCAGUUCUUUAUCAGGUUGUGAUAAUCUAUAUUUGCUUGAUACAAUUGCUUCAUUUAAUGAAUCCUUGCAUGUUAAUGUAAUGGGUAAAAAACGCAAAUUAACCAGCGAGAAUUCAGCUUCAUUGUGGCACAAGAGAAUGGGUCACAUCUCUAAAAAGAGAAUUGAGAGACUUGUGUCCUCUGACGGUAUCCUCGAUCCUAUUGAUUUUUCAGAUUUUAAUAUGUGUGUGAAUUGCAUUAAGGGA